rnacentral:rRNA from 1 species
CCGGACCGGCGCACGGGUGAGUAACGCGUAUGCAACUUACCUAUCAGAGGGGGAUAACCCGGCGAAAGUCGGACUAAUACCGCAUGAAGCAGGGAUCCCGCAUGGGAAUAUUUGCUAAAGAUUCAUCGCUGAUAGAUAGGCAUGCGUUCCAUUAGGCAGUUGGCGGGGUAACGGCCCACCAAACCGACGAUGGAUAGGGGUUCCGAGAGGAAGGUCCCCCACAUUGGUACUGAGACACGGACCAA